UUUGGAAAGAGCAGAGGAAGAGGUGAGUUAACACAAAGUUUUAUCUAUAAACUGAACAAGAAGCCAUUCUAAUUUCAUGUACUGAUUGCUGCUUAAAAGCAAACUGAAUUCUUCAGGAGUCAUCAGGAUAAGAGGUAGAGGAACUCGCAUCAGGAGCUAAUACACAGCUUUCACCCUUAGCUUUGCUAUGACAGUAACAAGUACUAUUAAUAGGAUGGCACAACUCCUCAUCACUCUGCACAGGUGAUAGGUGCAGCAGCUUUUGUUUGGCUGGCCAAAGACCUUGUGUGCCAAUAACCUUUGUUAGAGGGGAAUAGUACUACCAGCAGUAUCUAAAAUGAGAGCAAAGUACAGAGUGUCCUUCCCUAUAGCAGGAAUAGAAGUGGAAUCGCUGGCAAGAGCACUGUAUUGUGCCCACUUAAAUAUGGUACCAAGAGCAAUGGACACAUGCUGAGCUGGAAAAUUUUUCUCUUUCUAGAUCACAGCACCAAGUAAGCUCGCUGACAACUCCACCAUCACAUGAGUGAAUCUGCUCCAAACCCAGGACUCAUCCCUGCUAGGAACUUACAUGUCUGGAAAUGCAGUUUAUUACCAGUGACUCCUUUUAGCAAUGGAGUCAGACAGAGGAGAUGCUGCAUAGAAGUUUCUGGGUUACCUUGGGUUUGAUUUUGUGAUGCAAGGACAAGCUCUCACUGGACUUCUGCUCUGUGUAUGGGACGUGUGUGUAGCUACUACUGGGUAGGUAAAGGUUUAAGGAGGCUUCUGGGACUUUUCUUUAGAAGAGAAAGAGAGAGCUCUUGGAAAACCCAUGAGAGGUUAAUAUCCCCGAGGUCACUGGGGCUGUAUCAAGUGUGGCUGAGAUUGACCAGUUGGUUCAGGCGUUGUUGGAGGACGAGGGGAGGAGGACACAGCACAGCGAUUGCAUAAGCCUUAUUUUUAGCCUGGCUUCCUAUGGGAAGAAAAGCUGGCUUGCAAUGGCAGGCUUUCUUACAGCAGACAGGACAUUCCUGGUAGGGACACAUUAAGUCAGAUUUGACCUCAUAUAUUCUUUUUCCUUCAAUGUUUAAAGUGAUAUAUGUGACACAAACCUGUUCCUACUGAUGGUAAGGGAAAAACUCUUUUCUAUUCCAGGGAAAAGAAGAUGGCAACUAUCAACACUGGGCUUUACCUGUCUGCCUCCAGCCAGCAGGAAGGUUCCCACAUUAGAGACCUGCUCACUUUAGCUUGUUGUUAUGGGCUUCCCUACUGGACUUCCAGCUAAUAUUGGCACAAAUACAAGUUGAUGAGAAGGCAAGACCCAGCUCCCUCUGACAUCUCAUUGACCUUGGAAGAUAUUUGGAUUGCAGCCCAAAGGCAAAAUGAUAUAAUACAUCUUCAGGAAAGAAUCUA